CCCUUAGAUGUUCUGGGCCGCACGCGCGUUACACUGAUGCAUUCAACGAGCUUAUAACCUUGGCCGAGAGGCCUGGGCAAUCUUGUUAACGUGCAUCGUGAUAGGGAUAGAUUAUUGAAAUUAUUAAUCUUGAACGAGGAAUUCCUAGUAAACGCAGAUCAUCAAUCUGCAUUGAUUACGUCCCUGCCCUUUGUACACACCGCCCGUCGCACCUACCGAUUGGAUGGUCCGAUGAAUAUCAUGGAUUGAGGAUGCAAGUAGGUUCGCCUAUCUUCAUCUUCGAGAAGUGAAGUAAAUCUUAUCAUUUAGAGGAAGGAGAAGUCGUAACA
rnacentral:rRNA from 1 species